UACGUAGGGUGCGAGCGUUAAUCGGAAUUACUGGGCGUAAAGCGUGCGCAGGCGGUUCGUUGUGUCGGCGGUGAAAGCCCCGGGCUCAACCUGGGAAUGGCCGUUGAAACUGGCGAACUGGAGGGUGGGAGAGGGGGGUGGAAUUCCGCGUGUAGCAGUGAAAUGCGUAGAGAUGGGGAGGAACACCGAUGGCGAAGGCAGCCCCCUGGGCUGACACUGACGCUCAGGCACGAAAGCGUGGGGAGCAAACAGG
rnacentral:rRNA from 1 species